rnacentral:rRNA from 1 species
AGGCAGCAGUGAGGAAUAUUGGUCAAUGGACGCAAGUCUGAACCAGCCAUGUCGCGUGCAGGAUGACUGCCCUAUGGGUUGUAAACUGCUUUUGUACGGGAAGAAAAAUACUUACGUGUAAGUAUUUGCCGGUACCGUACGAAUAAGCAUCGGCUAACUCC